rnacentral:lncRNA from 1 species
AGCAAACCUAUCUCCAAUAUUGGUCUUUUUUGUGGUGGGGCAUUUCUUCAUAAAUCCACACUGAGGACUGUGUAUAGAAACGCUGCUCUGUUGCUAGCUAAGGCAGACUUUGCACCCUGACUGGUCAGCUGGAACUUAAGGAAGACAAGAAGGACUGAAGUGAUUUCCUCUCCAUAACGGUGUUAAUAACAUAGAUGACCUGCACUGAGAAGAGGGGCCCUUUGAUGAAAAGAAAUAAUUCUGGUGCGUGAAGAUUUUAUUCCAGAAAAGCCAAACAGAACCACCUAAUAUGGCCCUUACCUUGCUGCCAAAGGAAGGGGCGCCCAUUGGGGCUCCUCAGGUGGGGCCAAUUGGCAGGAAGUUCUGAAGGAAAAGUGUUUAAUUUAGUGUUGCCAUUGGGAGUUAUGGAACUAGGAGGAUAAGGGAAGGACAAUGCAUCCUGAGAUUUCCUCAAAUUGGAGAAGUGGGUGUUUGUAUUUAUAUUUAUAAGAGGCUGAGCUGAACUGUCCAACCUAGAAAGUGCGACUCAAUACACAGCAGUUCAACAGGUGACCAGGACCUGGGCUCUCCGCACGAAUAACUGAGCUUUAAGAAAGAGACUUCAAUCAGGAUUCAGGAAAGAUUUUCCUGCUUUUGCAGUUUAUUGCAGUGAAAUCUGUCCAAUCUAUUGACAAAGCUCCAAAACACACAUGGGUUGGUGCCCUGGUAUGCUUGCAGUGAAGCAUUUGCCAAAAGCUAUUGAAAUUCUCAAUGUGCUUCAAGCAUUGGCAUUCUGUGCAGAAAAUGGUGCCACCUAUCAGUAAGGAGGAGGAAACUGAACAGCAAAAUGAUUUGUUUGAACUGAAGAAACUGUUAUUUUCAUUGCAAGGGUGAUGGUUUUCUACUAAUGAGCAAUUAGUGAGAUGUUUGGCUUGUUCAGAAUGGUCUUGGAAAAUGAGGUUCUGACCUGGCUGGCCACUUCCAGGCUGCAUGAGGGGGACCUGGCCAGGCAAACACUGCAUGUUCUCCUCUUGCAGACCAUAAGGGUAGAGUUCUGAGGAAAGUCUGCUGCCAGGGUGCAAAAUGCAAGUCAGCCAGGUCAGCUGAGGUGCAAAGCACCAGAGGUUAGUAGUUAGUUUUAUUUGUGUAAGUCUGAAUCUAAAGAGAUUUUGAUUGAAAAAAAAAUAUGUAUGUUCUUAUAUGGCGUAGGUCAUUCUGAGUCACUCUCCAGAGCAAAAUGUAGGCUUGUAAGUGAUUCAUUUCUCCAUCCCUGUAAGCAUUCAGCUUUUACAGGUUCUUACCUGUAUCUAAGUCCACUGGAGAAAGUUUGUCUUGACGAAGUCUGUAUGCACUGAGAUUUCUCUUAUGGAAAGAAGCAUACAAGGGCUGAAUUCUCCACAAGCCUUAUUCUGUACUGUAUGUACCAUUAAUUAAGAGACCUUUC